AGAUGGCUUCACACAGAGGCGGGCUGCCAUCUUGCUCUAAGUGAAAGUGAAAGAAAAGUCGGCAGCAGAGGGAACAGAGAAGAAACCUAAAGGCUGCGGGCUGCCAGAGCCCCACCCAGCAGAGAGGCAGUGGCGGGCAGUGGACGUGGUCCUAGACUGCUUCCUGGCGAAGGACGGUGGGCACCGUGGAGCUCUCGCCAGCAGUGAGGACAGGGCGAGGGCCUCCCUCGUGCUGAAGCAGGUGCCAGUGCUGGAUGAUGGCUCCCUGGAGGACUUCACCGAUUUCCAAGGGGGCACGCUGGCCCAAGAUGACCCACCUAUUAUCUUCGAGGCCUCAGUGGACCUGGUCCAGAUUCCCCAGGCCGAGGCCUUGCUCCAUGCUGACUGCAGUGGGAAGGAGGUGACCUGCGAGAUCUCCCGCUACUUUCUCCAGAUGAAAGGGACCACUGUGGAGACAGAAGCUUGGUUCAUGGCCAACGUGCAGGUCUCUGGAGGGGGACCUAGCAUCUCCAUGGUGAUGAAGACUCCCAGGGACGCCAAGAAUGAGGCUCUCUGGCACCCGACG
rnacentral:sRNA from 1 species